rnacentral:lncRNA from 1 species
AUGGGAAAACCAGUUCCUGCCAUGCACCAUCUCCCCCGGCCGUGGAUCUGCCAGCUCCGGCCUUUCUGUGAGCACAACAAAGGGGAAGGCACAGGGCAUGGCUGCUGCAGGUGCCGUAGGCCGCAAACCUGCACCUCCUCAGCUCGGAGGAAACGAGCUCAGAGUGCACGGGCAGGCUCUCGGGACUCCGGCCGAACUCCCCGCUCUCCGCAGCCCGACUCCGGCUCGGGCUCUCUGGGCAAGCUCCUCGCUGCCAGGAGCGCUGCCCUCUGCCCUCGCCUGGGCCUGCUGGGAGCUGCAGGCCCCGCAGGAACUACCACUCCCAGGAUGCCGUGCGGCAGCACCGGGCGCCGCCAUGACAGUGCCUGUGUGCAGUGCUGGGCAGGGCUGGGCCUGCUGGCACAGGGCAGCGGGUGCUCCUUCCCUGAGCGUGCUGGCAUGUAAGGCACUUUGACCACUAUGCUCUGGGGGUGGGAUGACAUGUGCUGAGCAGUGCUGUUCCUGGCAGUGCGGCUGCAGAGAGGUCGGCCAUCUCGGCAGUCAGCAUGGGUGUGAGUGCCGCAGCUCUGCACACCUCCGGCCUUUGGGUGCAGCUGUCUGUGCUCCCAGUGCUGCACAGAGCACUUGUCACUGAAUCCCUGCAGAGCUGGGAGCUGAGCCCUGUGCUGCUGAGGGCUGAACCCUCGGAUAAAAAACUGUUUGUGUGUACAGUGACCGUUGGGGGGUCAGCAGCGCUGAAAAGGCGACUUGUGAAAUGUGGGUGACUGCUGUUGAAAGGAACGGUCCCAGGGAAGCAGUUCCCAGGAGGAGAAGGGAGAGGAGGGGCCUUUAAAGUUAAACCUUCCAGAGUUGUUGAGUUUCUAAGUUCAAAACUAAGUGAGACACAGCAGCGCUGGAUUAUGUAGCAGUGUGUUCUGGAGGAAUAAUGUCCUUGCCUUCACAGAAGGGUGGUGGUUCCUCAUCCUCUGAUGAACUUUAUUCUUUAGGAGUACCUUGAGUCAGUACAAGACUUGGAAUCUGGGAAAAAGAAUUGGAGAGCUGUCAAGAACGAUCAUCUGCUGGACCAUUCUAGCUUCAGUAAUAUGGCACUUACUUCUGGAGGUGUUUGAGACUGCAGAGUGGCACUUGAAAGGACGGUAUUGUUUCAACUUUCCUAUUUAAAAAAAAAAAAAAACAAACAAAAAACCAAACCCAAAGCAAACAAACAAAAAAACCCAGAAUGGAAUAUUUUUCCUGAGUGUCAUUGAGCAACCCACAAAUUGAGCCCAUACCGUAAACACUGACCAGAUACUCUAAGCAAAACACCAAACCCUCCCCUAAAAAAUUCCUAAUCCCUCACUCUGAAAGGCUAAUCUCUAAUCCCUAAACCCUGACUUAAACAUUUCACAUCCAAAGCCCAAUUCCCAUGCUCUGAUCCCAUCACCAUCUGCAUCUCUCCUAGCCC